GGAACAGGCUGCUCAUGGAAGUGGUGGAGUUAUCAUCCCUGAAGGAUGCCCUACAAGCUCUGAAGCAAGAGUCUGAGGGAGAAGUGGUAAUUACUGCUUUUCAUUCUGAGAUGUGGAUUCACAAUGAUAUAUGAUCUUUCUUAUCCAACACUAUAGAAGAUAAUAUUCAUGAUAGAAGGUAUUAACUGAUUUCUUAGGCUGCACAAGGUUAUAAAUACAGCAAUUACAAUAA